CACGAACCCGACGAACGAUAUUCGGAAUUAUUGGGCUGAAAGGGUGCGUAGGCGGUGCGGUAAGUGAGGUGUGAAAACCCUCGGCUCAACCGAGGAAUUGCGCUUCAUACUGCCGUGCUGGAGGGAGACAGGGGUAAGCGGAACUGAUGGUGGAGCGGUGAAAUGCGUUGAUAUCAUCAGGAACACCGGUGGCGAAAGCGGCUUACUGGGUCUUCUCUGACGCUGAGGCACGAAAGCUAGGGUAGCGAAUGGG
rnacentral:rRNA from 1 species